rnacentral:lncRNA from 1 species
CACCAUAUGAGAUAUAGUAUGGUAAGAAGUCGAGUCCCGAUUAUCUUAAGACUUAGGGAUAUCUGAUCUAUAUCAAGAGAUAGAUGGCUGAUAAAUUAGAGGAUAGAUUUGUAAUAGCUCAUUUUAUUGGGUAUCCAAAAGAAUUAAUGAGACACUACUACUUUUCAUAAGAUCAUAAUGUGAUUGUGAGUCAGAACGCCAUAUUUCUAAAAAAAACUUUAUCUAGGAUGGGCAGUGGGAGCUUAGUUGAGCUUGAAGAGAAGAUCUUUAAAAGCAAAGAGCUAUAGAUCCUUAAGAACUUAUUAUUCAUGAGUAGUUGAUGCUCCUCCAUCACCUCGU